rnacentral:rRNA from 1 species
GAUGAACGCUGGCGGCGUGCUUAACACAUGCAAGUCGAACGGACAGAGAGGAGCUUGCUCCUCGAAGUUAGUGGCGGACGGGUGAGUAACGCGUGGGUAACCUGCCCUAUGCAGGGGGAUAACGUUUGGAAACGAACGCUAAUACCGCAUAAUCUAGUUGGUUCGCAUGAACUGACUAGCAAAGAUUUAUCGGCAUAGGAUGGACCCGCGUUGGAUUAGCUAGUUGGUGAGAUAAAAGCUCACCAAGGCGACGAUCCAUAGCCGGCCUGAGAGGGUGAACGGCCACACUGGGACUGAGACACGGCCCAGACUCCUACGGGAGGCAGCAGUGGGGAAUAUUGCACAAUGGGCGCAAGCCUGAUGCAGCGACGCCGCGUGAAGGAUGAAGGUUUUCGGAUCGUAAACUUCUAUCAGCAGGGAAGAAACCAAUGACGGUACCUGACUAAGAAGCCCCGGCUAACUACG